rnacentral:rRNA from 1 species
CGUCAGCUCGUGCCCGUGAGGUGUUGGGUUAAGUCCCGCAACGAGCGCAACCCCGCCGUAGUUGCCAGCGGUUCGGCCGGGCGACUCUAACGGGACUGCCCGCGAAAGCGGGAGGAAGAGGGGACGACGUCUGGUCAGCAUGGCCCUUACGGCCUGGGCGACACACGUGCUACAAUGCCCACUACAAAGCGAUGCCACCCGGCAACGGGGAGCUAAUCGCAAAAAGGUGGGCCCAGUUCGGAUUGGGGGUCUGCAACCCGACCCCAUGAAGCCGGAAUCGCUAGUAAUCGCGGAUCAGCACGCCGCGGUGAAUACGUUCCCGGGCCUU